GCCGGGCAUGGUGGCGCAUGCCUGUAAUCCCAGCUACUCAGGAGGCUGAGGCAGGAGAAUCGCUUGAACCUGGGAGGCGGAGGUUGCAGUGAGCCAAGAUUGCGCCACUGCACUCCAGCCUGGGUGACAGAGCGAGACUCCAUCUUCA
ensembl:misc_RNA Metazoa_SRP Metazoan signal recognition particle RNA